AAGUCGUAACAAGGUAUCCGUAGGUGAACCUGCGGAUGGAUCAUUAACGAUACGUGCUGUUUGCAAAAACACACGUUCCUACCAACCAAACCUGUGCGAGGAGAGUGGAAGGGGAAAAAACGAUUGUUUGAACCUUUGCUCUCCGUUUCUUUCUAUUUCUUUUUUCUUUACAAACCUUAAAACCCCAUUUCUUCGUUUUCGAAGGACUGAAACCACACUGUUUCAAAUCGAAAGUAAGCGUCGAAUCGGUUGCAUUUGGUCUCUAUUAGACUCCUUUCAUUUAGGAGUCGAACGGACUCGCAACCUACCCGACUCUUCGAUUAGAUAUGAAAUCCUGUACAACUCUUAGCAACGGAUAUCUUGGUUCUC
rnacentral:misc_RNA from 1 species